GACGAACGCUGGCGGCGUGCCUAAUACAUGCAAGUUGAGCGCUGAAGGUUGGUACUUGUACCGACUGGAUGAGCAGCGAACGGGUGAGUAACGCGUGGGGAAUCUGCCUUUGAGCGGGGGACAACAUUUGGAAACGAAUGCUAAUACCGCAUAAAAACUUUAAACACAAGUUUUAAGUUUGAAAGAUGCAAUUGCAUCACUCAAAGAUGAUCCCGCGUUGUAUUAGCUAGUUGGUGAGGUAAAGGCUCACCAAGGCGAUGAUACAUAGCCGACCUGAGAGGGUGAUCGGCCACAUUGGGACUGAGACACGGCCCAAACUCCUACGGGAGGCAGCAGUAGGGAAUCUUCGGCAAUGGACGAAAGUCUGACCGAGCAACGCCGCGUGAGUGGAGAAGGUUUUCGGAUCGUAAAACUCUGUUGGUAGAGAAGAACGUUGGUGAGAGUGGAAAGCUCAUCAAGUGACGGUAACUACCCAGAAAGGGACGGCUAACUACGU
rnacentral:rRNA from 1 species